rnacentral:rRNA from 1 species
CACGUAGGGCGCGAGCGUUGUCCGGAAUUAUUGGGCGUAAAGAGCUCGUAGGCGGCCUGUUGCGUCCGCUGUGAAAGCCCGGGGCUUAACCCCGGGUCUGCAGUGGAUACGGGCAGGCUAGAGGUAGGUAGGGGAGAAUGGAAUUCCCGGUGUAGCGGUGAAAUGCGCAGAUAUCAGGAAGAACACCCGUGGCGAAGGCGGCUCUCUGGGGACGGUACUGACGCUGAGACGCGAAAAGCGUGGGGGAGCGAAACAGG